GCUGGGCGCGGUGGGGCACGCUUGUCAUCCCAGUGGCUCUGGAGGCUGAGGCAGGAGGAUCGCAAGUUGGAGGCCAGCCUCAGCAUCUUAGUGAGGCCCUAAGCAACUCAGGGAGACCCUGUCUCUA
rnacentral:sRNA from 1 species